UGUAAAUACAAUUAUUUUUUUAGGACAGACAAUAACAGUUACCACUGUCUGAAGUACUAAAACAAUAAUCAAUGUAAAGAUACUCCUUAGCCAGUUCUGGGAGAAGUCCUGUGAUCUUAAUCUACAUGAAAGACAAACCUAUGCCUUCCAACCUUGGAGCCCAUGGGGUGCUAAGAAGUGGAGUACUACCAGUUAGUGGAAAGAAGAAAUUAAACUGAAAACACGCUGGAGCAAAACAUAAGAUAGAAGGGGCUCAAUUCUGUUUAUCCUUUAUUUCAAGCUUUGCAAUCAUUGAAUAAUUAAAACAAGGCUAAGUGGAUGGAAGGACAAUACAUGGGAGAAAUGAUAACAUGCUCUUUGUUACUCUCCAGUUGGAAGGAAAGGAGUGGUACUUUGGCAACAGAUAAAGUAAAUCAGAAAAGAAAAGCUUGAUAACAGAUAACGUAAACAGAUGGGAUGAAAAUAAAUUGACAUGGUGCCUGGGUUGCUGUGACCUU
rnacentral:lncRNA from 1 species